AAAAGUGCUCUCUCAAGAAGCUGCAAGUUUAAAUCAUGACACAGUUAAUGACAUUGGCAUUUUGCCAUCAACAAGGUCACAGAUGACAAUGUUGUUAGGUAUCUGAUUAUGGCAACAAAGGAGAAGAAAACCGGAUCACUCAUUGCAAAACCAAAAAAAAGGGGAUAUGUUAAUGAAAAUGAAUCUAUAGGGCAUAAGGUUUAGAUUAGUUAACAUGCACUAUUCAAUUGGGAGAAUGAAAAAACAAUGUAGAAAGUGUACCAAUAUGUCAUCAGUUAUUGCCCCUCAUACCAGAGAGUAAACCACUGAUUUGAAAUUAUCCUAUCGAAACAAACAACUUUGACAAGCAAGACGACUUACCAAUGCAUUAUGAAAAAUAUGUAAAUCACAUACCAAUCUUCCAAACCAACACCAGGAUUCAGGACUCUGAUAAAAAUAGAAGCUUGUGCAAAUUUAAAGUUAAGUUAAAUUUUAGAUUACAGAAAGAUUAACAUACCGUCUAAGCAAGACCUAACACUAAGCUUGGACAUAUGGAUUUAAGUUUAACAAUUUGGUUUUUGCUCAACUUCAUGAACAGUUAUUAGAAAAUGGUGGAAUUGAACUUCAGUGAAAUCCAACUUAAUUGAAGAGACCAAAGCUAAUCGAUUUCAUAUAACGAAUUUUUACCCAAAAAACCACAAUGAAUCACCCAAACAGACACACUAUACAAAAGAUAGCGCCAUGUCUAUUAGAAGCCAAACAAUAUCAUAAUAUCAGUCUGAGCAACACAAACACACCCCUAAUUCAU
rnacentral:misc_RNA from 1 species